CUAGCAUAUCAAUAAGCGGAGGAAAAGAAACCAACAGGGAUUGCCCUAGUAACGGCGAGUGAAGCGGCAACAGCUCAAAUUUGAAAUCUGGCCCUAGUGGUCCGAAUUGUAAUUUGUAGAGGAUGCUUUGGGCGCGGUGCCUUCCGAGUUCCUUGGAACAGGACGCCUUAGAGGGUGAGAGCCCCGUACGGUUGGACACCAAGCCUAUGUAAAGCUCCUUCGACGAGUCGAGUAGUUUGGGAAUGCUGCUCUAAAUGGGAGGUAAAUUUCUUCUAAAGCUAAAUACCGGCCAGAGACCGAUAGCGCACAAGUAGAGUGAUCGAAAGAUGAAAAGUACUUUGAAAAGAGGGUUAAAUAGCACGUGAAAUUGUUGAAAGGGAAGCAUUUAUGACCAGACCUUUGCUAGGUGGAUCAUCCGGUGUUCUUCACCGGUGCACUUCGCCUAGCUUAGGCCAGCAUCGAUUUCUGUAGGGGGAUAAAGGUCUAGGGAACGUAGCUCUCUUCGGAGAGUGUUAUAGCCCUGGGCGUAAUACCCUUACGGGGAUCGAGGUUCGCGCUUCGGCAAGGAUGCUGGCAUAAUGGUCAUCAAUGACCCGUCUUGAAACACGGACCAAGGAGUCGAACAUUUAUGCGAGUGUUUGGGUGUCAAACCCUCACGCGUAAUGAAAGUGAACGGAGGUGAGAGCCCUUACGGGUGCAUCAUCGACCGAUCCUGAUGUCUUCGGAUGGAUUUGAGUAAGAGCAUAACUGUUCGGACCCGAAAGAUGGUGAACUAUGCGUGGAUAGGGUGAAGCCAGAGGAAACUCUGGUGGAGGCUCGCAGCGGUUCUGACGUGCAAAUCGAUCGUCAAAUCUGCGCAUGGGGGCGAAAGACUUAUCGAACCAUCUAGUAGCUGGUUACCGCCGA
rnacentral:rRNA from 2 species